AUGAGCUUUGACUGGGAAGACCUAUUCCCACUAGUCACAGUCCGUAAACUAGUGAGAGAUGUCAUAGACCACAACCCUUUGUUGUUCACAACAAAUCCCUUGAAAAAAAGUCCCAUGCACCUGCUUGAGUUCAGAUUCGAGCUCAGCUAGUUGAAGAACGAGGAAUUCUAUGCUAAAGCUAAGAUGAUCUGGGAGCAGCCUGUGCAAUCUGAGGACCCUAUUGACAUCCUAAACAUAAAGUUAAAAUGUAUCAAAAAAUACUUUAAAGGAUGGGGUUCCCACCUUUUCGGCCAUGCCAAAAAGAGGAAGAAAUGGGUUAAAAAGGAGCUGGAAGAGAUUGAAAAGAAGGAGGAAGCUGCCCCCCUGGAUCCUGAGACUUAUGAGAGAAGAACCAUAUUGUGUGCUGAGCUCAAUGAUAUUCUGGCUGACGAAGAGCUUUUCUGGCUUCAGCACUCGAACGAGCGAUGGUUACUUAAAGGGGAUCAAAACAUAGCCUAUUUCCAUCGUAUAGCCAAUGGAAAGAAGAUGAAAAACACCAUUCACUCCCUUGCUGAUGGGGAAAUGGUUAUAGAAGGCACUAAAGAUCUUUUGGCUCAUGCAACAUCCUAUUAUAAGGAACUCUUUGGCCCGGCCAGUGGAAAUCUAUUUCACCUCUCUCCUGAAACCUGGUCUAGUGAUGAGAGACUUACUGAAGAUGACAACCUCAUCCUGACUAGUGUGUUCACUGAAGAGGAAGUAAAGAAAUCCCUAUUUAGCAUGGAUAGCAAUAGGGGUUCUGGACCUGAUAAUAUCCCAACUGAGUUUUAUAAACACUACUGGGAUUUUAAUCAAAAAUGA
rnacentral:rRNA from 1 species